UCCGUGUAGUUCAAUGGGAGAACACACCCCGCGCCCGCUUCGGCGUCGACCGGUGAGUCGAGGGUUCGAUUCCCUCGCAUGGCA